rnacentral:snRNA from 1 species
GGAUGCGAGGGCGAUCUGUCUGUGACAUCUGUCACCCCAUUGACUACUAGGGUUGAUUUGGCUGAUGUGGCUGGCUAGGCAGGUGUCCCCUUCCUCCCUCACCGCUCCAUGUGCGUCCCUCCCGAAGCUGCCUGCUCAGAAGAUGAUGGCCUUCCCUGAAUAGAGACAGACUGGUCUUUGGUCAAGGGUAUAUGAGUAGCUGCUGCAAUCCCCUGCUAGAACCUCCACACAAGCUCUCAUUCUCUCCCCCUCUCUGUCUUCCCCUCCUCUCUCCAUUUCUCUCUGUACUAUCCAACAACAGUGACAUCAACAACAACAAU